rnacentral:ncRNA from 2 species
CACUCUGGAGAGAGCCCGGGUCACCGGGACGCCGAAGGGAUAACGAUCUCAGGCGCAUGGACAGAGGG